GACGAACGCUGGCGGCGUGCUUAACACAUGCAAGUCGAACGGAAAGGCCCUGCUUUUGUGGGGUGCUCGAGUGGCGAACGGUUGAGUAACACGUGAGUAACCUGCCCUUGACUUUGGGAUAACUUCAGGAAACUGGGGCUAAUACCGGAUAGGAGCUCCUGCUGCAUGGUGGGGGUUGGAAAGUUUCGGCGGUUGGGGAUGGACUCGCGGCUUAUCAGCUUGUUGGUGGGGUAGUGGCUUACCAAGGCUUUGACGGGUAGCCGGCCUGAGAGGGUGACCGGCCACAUUGGGACUGAGAUACGGCCCAGACUCAUACGGGAGGAAGCAGUGGGGAAUAUUGCACAAUGGGCGGAAGCCUGAUGCAGCAACGCCGCGUGCGGGAUGACGGCCUUCGGGUUGUAAACCGCGUUCGCCUGUGACGAAGCGUGAGUGACGGUAAUGGGUAAAGAAGCACCGGCUAACUACGUG
rnacentral:rRNA from 1 species